rnacentral:rRNA from 1 species
UACGUAGGGUGCGAGCGUUAAUCGGAAUUACUGGGCGUAAGGCGUGCGCAGGCGGUGACCCAAGUCAGAUGUGAAAUCCCCGGGCGUUAACCUGGGAACGUGCAUUUGUUGACUGCACGGCUAGAGUGUGUCAGAGGGGGGUAGGAAUUCCACGUGUAGCAGUGAAAUGCGUAGAUAUGUGGAGGAAUACCGAUGGCGAAGGCAGCCCCCGUGGGAUAACACUGACGCUCAUGCACGAAAGCGUGGGGAGCAAACAGGAUUAGAAACCCUAGUAGU